UUUUGUGUUCCUAUUAAAAAAAGGUUAAUAUAUUGUGUCUGAGGUAUUUCCAGGACAUACUCUUCUCCUCUCUUGCCUACAACCCCCACCUUACUGUGCCCUUGUCUAAACUCACCUAUGGCAUGUUGUGAUUUUGUGUUUGACAGGAGCACUUUGAAGCUUCCAGUUCUUGAGCCAAGCACACAUACAAAUGGACCAUCUGGACCCUUUAAAAGCUAUGUCUCUUUUAUUUCCUUUUGUUUGCACAAUUUUGUGAAUGAAAAGAUAGAAAUUUGUAUUAGAGCUAAAAUUACCCAAGCAAAUAUGUUAUCAAGUAGAUUAACACAACUAGUUUAUAUUGUUCAAUUUAAAUUAUUUGUAUUAAAUUUUAUACAUAUGCAUUUUGUAGGGGAAAUUUCUUCUUUUGAUUUAUAAAAAUAAUCUGAUAAAACACGUUAGUGACAAUAUCAGAAGUUCACAUUCCUUGAAAAUUUGGGCAAAAAUCUCAUUAACAACUUUGAUUGAAAAUCUAGGCACUACUUGAAAACUAAAGCCUUCAUAAAAUUGCCUUCCCUAUUUCCCCUUAAGCUCUGUCCACUCAGUGACUGAGUUUCUGGACUCUCAGUCCGCUUAACCAGUAUUAGCUUCUCUUUCCUGCAUUGAUAAUCCUCUUCAAUGCUAACUGACUACCUAACUAGAAUUCUGAGAAACACCCUUUCAUCUUGGACUGGCAGUCUGGGUCCUGGAAUAGGUUUUGAGUGUUGUUAAAAUUAUUUGUUUUUUAUUAUGUCAUUUCUCACCAUAGAAUGAUCUCUGUUUUUAACUGGCAUGUUGAAAAUAUGACUUAAUAUUACUUUUAGAUUCAGAGUUCAUUUAUAGUAGUUUUAUUCCUACUAUUUUGUUUGUUUAGAUUCUUAAUCCUAGUUCUUCUUGAUCUAGACUAUUUUCCAACAACCUAGUCAAACUAAUUUUAUAACUCUCCUAAUAUGCUCAUGCUAUUUUUAUCAUUUCACAGUGUCAUAUUUAUUUCUCUUUUCCAUACUCUAAAAUCAUGCAGUUCAGAUUAUUAUAAUUUAUUAUUUAAAUAACAUCCUAAAGAAUGUGCUUGAUUUUAAGUGCAAUACUUUUUUAAUCUUCUUUGUCAAGGUUCAGAAAGGGGGGGGGAGGGUAAUAAUUAGUGGACCUAUAACCCAUGUCAGUCUUACCAAGCCAACUUUAAAAUAAUAUUGGACCUGUCCUUAAAUCUGUGUUUAGAAGGAGUAAAAGAAUUAAUGAUGACAGGAGAGGGUUUGCUAGGUUCCAGAACUCAUCUAGGUUUCAGCUAACACAUGAACUUUGGGGGAAAAAAAGUGUUAUAGUUGUUCAGUGAUAGAGACAUACUAUAUUGGUUUCAGCAUACUCACUAUCUGCCUCACCUCAACCCAUUCAACAACACUUGGUGGCAACUCCCAGAUGGUCCUUUCACAACCCUUUGGAACUUAUUUGCCCUGAACUUUCUGAUUGAUAAGAAUAACAUGAAUAAAAGAAUAGUUUAAUUGAGAGACAGCAGGGAGCUAGAGUGCUAGGACAGCUGUGACAUUAUUCAACUUCUUUCCUACAAUAAACUACCAGGAGCAAUAGGUAUGUAGGUGGAAGCUUUAUUCUACUUGAUUUUAUAUUUUUUGUAUCUAUGAUGAUGAGUGAAUGAUUGUAUACAGUUAAGUCUUUUUUUGGAAAUGGAACUAUUCUCUUGUAUUUUAGAUAAAGCUUAAUCAAAAUUUAAAGUUUAAAUUCCAGAAAUCAGAGCUAUAAGGGACUUUAGAGGUUAACUACUGUCAUUCCCUUCCUUGAUUCAAGUCAAUUAAUUUUGACAUUCUGAAGUUAGAAAAUUCACAUAUAGAAAGUCAAUGGACAAUAAACACUAGAAUCCUAAAAAACAGUAUCAUGAAAAUGAUAUAUUUGAUUUUUUACUUCAGUAAUAUUCCCAAGUAAAUUAUUUUCCCCUUAUGUUUUAGAGUCCUUGAAUUUCAAAGUAUAGUUAAAAUAAAGUACAUUGUCAAAUUUCAUGCUUGUCAAAGAAUAUUCUUUUUUCUUGUAUUGCCUUAUUAUUAAUCUCUUUAACUUUAGUCAUCUUAAUUUAUUAUGAGAUGUGAUUAACUUCUUUUCUUAGUAAAAUAUUCUAAACCAUCCAUUAUCCAAACUCACAGUACAUCUAGGAGACAAAUCAGGACAUUUGUAACAAGCUUAUUUUCUUUCUAUCCUUUAAUAAAGAAGUCACAUUAAAGUACCUCCCAAUUAGAUAUCUUUUUUUACCUACCAUUAGGUAAGGUUACUGAAAAGAUAAUGAUGGGGAAGCAUCAAUAGAUUUGAUGCUUUUAUAUUUCUUUACUUCUAUUUAUGAUGAUGUCUUUGGUCAAAGUCAGAUCAACAUCACCCACUUCCUGGUCUCUCAUUUUGGCUCAGGUUCUUUCCAGUGAGACUUGUGUCAAACUUCCCUGAUCCAAGUCCCUACUUGGCUAUCUCUUAUUUUGUCUUCCCAGAGAAACUCUUCUGACUACUGAAUCCAGACCACUGGCCUCCUGGUUUCUUUUUUCAUUGUAAGGAGUCUUGUGUUACUUCACUUAGCUUUCUGCAUCUAUCAACCCAGGGUUUUCCUAAGGAGCACUGAACCAGGAUGAAUAAAAGUGCAUCUGUCAUCUUUGCUAUAGGAACCCUGCAUUUCUAUGGAGGCCUUUCCUGGACCUGAUCUAUUAUGAACUGACAAUGCUUGCCUUCUGUUUGAUUCCCUUUCCUCUUGUAUAUUAAUUUAAUGUUAUUUUUCAACUUUUGCUUUCAAAGAGAACCAAUGAUGUCAUGGAUGAUGUCUUGACUUACAAUGAAAUGGAUUUCAGUGUGGCAGAGUUUCACAGAGUCUUCAAGCUUACUUUCUUCCAAAGUCAUCAAAGUAUAGUUGCAAAACAAAAUCAGGAUUCCUGGCAAUGGCCCAGGAUUCAGUGAUUGACCUUUGCUUAUUUGAAAUCUGAUCAAAUUGUAAGCAAUACAAAGCACCUGCUUCAGCUGCCUUCAUGUUUGUCAGAAAAAAGUAUUUUUCUCCCCUCCUGUUGAGGAGAGGGGCUCCAGGAGUGGAAUCUGGAGGAGGAGGAGACUCUGUCUUGGAGAAAAUUAAGGGUCUCGGUCUUCAGAAAUGGAAGAGAGAAGUUGAGAAAAAGACUUUCUCCUGAGGGUUACCCAUUUUUCUUGCUGGUGACUGGAAAUCUUUCCCUCCAAAACUUCCCAACUGAACGGACUUCUGAAGAGAAAUCUGAGCAGACUUUACCUCAGCUCCUAUUGCCCAGGGGUUCUAAGCACACAACAAUGUGCAAGAAGCUAUGAAUUUCAAAGAACAAAAUCUUUCUACUCAGAAAAAAAAAGACUGCAAUGAAAGGAAAAUAAAAAUAAAACAGAAUGAUUCAAGUCCAAUGGGAGGACAAAAGCCAGGACAACUAAUGAUGGCAUGGGAUACAGUGCGUAAUUUACCUUGAUGUCUUUGAUGUCAGAGCAAGCUCUCAGCACUCCAUAAUUUCUGUUUUGGCCACCUUCAUGGCUGUUCGAAUAAAUUGUUCUCAUC